UUAACCUCUGAGCCAUCGGCCUUUUGGCUAAGAUCAAGUGUAGUAUCUGUUCUUAUUGGUUCCUUGGAGGAGUGUGGUCCAGGGUGGCUGCCAAGCUGUGGAGUGCACAUGUGUAUCCAAGCUGUGCAGCGCACACAUAUGUCCACAUCUGGUGGGAUUGGAUCCUGCUAAGGUGAGAUAUUU